rnacentral:rRNA from 1 species
UACAGAGGGGGCAAGCGUUAUUCGGAAUUAUUGGGCGUAAAGGGCGCGUAGGCGGCUUGGCAAGUGGAAGGUGAAAUCCCUCGGCUCAACUGAGGAACUGCCUUCCAGACUGCUUUGCUUGAGUCCGGGAGAGGUGAGUGGAAUUCCCAGUGUAGCGGUGAAAUGCGUAGAUAUUGGGAGGAACACCAGUGGCGAAGGCGGCUCACUGGACCGGAACUGACGCUCAUGCACGAAAGCGUGGGGAGCAAACAGG